AGGAUGGGAAGAAAGCAGUAACCAGCAAGCGCCUACUGGGGACCAGGCAUGUGAUUUGCAUGAGGCAGAAGUCUCUUAGCAUCCCCAGGAAAUAACUCAUCCUUGUUUAGCAGAUGGGCCACCCAAGGCUCAGAGAGAUCAUUGAAGCAAGUAAGAGUGUCGUCAGGGAGUGAACAUCAGACAUCUCCUUCCCAAGCCUGUGUUCCUUCUACCAGCUAAGUGAAGGGCCUGCCAUGUGCAUGUUGCCAG
rnacentral:lncRNA from 1 species